rnacentral:rRNA from 1 species
GACGGGACCCGCACAAGCAGCGGAGCGUGUGGUUUAAUUCGUUACUACACGAAGAACCUUACCUGGGUUUGACAUAUAAGUUGUAGGGAACUGAAAAGGGACCGACCCUUCGGGGAGCUUAUGCAGGUGUUGCAUGGCUGUCGUCAGCUCGUGUCGUGAGAUGUUCGGUUAAGUCCGCUAACGAGCGCAACCCUCGCCGUAUGUUACAAGUGUCAUACGGGACUGCCGGUAAAAAGCCGGAGGAAGGUGAGGAUGAUGUCAAGUCAGCAUGACCUUUAUAUCCAGGGCUACACACACGCUACAAUGGUCUGUACAAUUGGUUGCCAAGCCGCGAGGCGGAGCCAAUCCGUAAAGCAGGCCUCAGUUCAGAUUGCAGUCUGCAACUCGACUGCAUGAAGCCGGAGUUGCUAGUAACCGCAGGUCAGCAAUACAGCGGUGAAUACGUUCCCGGGUCUU